AACUCCUUGUUGCCUGGACCCAAAAGUCUUUGAAGCUCUGUGUAGGACUACCCGAGCCUUGGAGUUCAGGAGAUCAACACAUAGAUGAGAAGCUAGCCUUGAUAGUGGUCCAAGGAUUUCCCUUGGAUUUGACCCAAGGAAAGGGCAGUUGAGGAUUUUGGCCACCCCGAUGACUUUUGCCCCUGGCCUUGCCACCAUC
rnacentral:lncRNA from 1 species